AUACGUAGGUGGCAAGCGUUAUCCGGAUUUAUUGGGCGUAAAGCGAGCGCAGGCGGUUUCUUAAGUCUGAUGUGAAAGCCUUCGGCUCAACCGAAGAAGUGCAUCGGAAACUGGGAAACUUGAGUGCAGAAGAGGACAGUGGAACUCCAUGUGUAGCGGUGAAAUGCGUAGAUAUAUGGAAGAACACCAGUGGCGAAGGCGGCUGUCUGGACUGUAACUGACACUGAGGCACGAAAGCGUGGGGAGC
rnacentral:rRNA from 1 species